AUACAUCCUUGCCACUUCUAUAUUCGGAAGUAUUCACAAAUAAAAGAUGCAACAGUAUUGGAAAAGAAGGUGAAUCAGUUUUGCAAUAAGAGUUUACACCUUGAUCCUUCAGACAUUUUGGAGCUAGGUGCAAGAAUAUUUGUCAACAGUAUUGAAAAUGGAAUGUGGUGUCGAGGAACUAUUACUGAAUUAAUUCCAAUAGGAAGUGAAAAUAUCAGAAGACGUAGUCCAACCAAAUACUUAGUCCAUGAAGUUGCACUGAUACAAAUAUUCAUGAUAGAUUUUGGAAAUUCUGAAGUCCUGGUUGUCCCAGGAGUUGGUGAUACUCACGUGAGAUCAGAACACACUGCUAAGCAACAUGUAGUACUAAAUGACUUAUGUCUAGUUCUGAGGAAGUCUGAACCAUACGUGGAAGAGCUGCUGAAAGACAUCCACCCAUUAGCACUGCCAUGUUCAUUGAAAGACAUUGUUCCACAGAAUUCAAAUGAAGGCUGGGGAGAAGAAGCUAAAGUAGAAUUUUUGAAAAUGGUAAAUAAGAAGGCUGUUUUAAUGAAAGUUUUUAAAAAAGAAGAUGGUGUGCUCAUUGUAGAUCUACAGAAACCACCAACAAAUAAAAUAAGCAGUGAUAUGCCAGUGUCUCUUAGAGAUGCCUUAGUUUUUAUGGAACUAGCAAGGUUUAGGUCACAGUCACCAAGAAGUCACUCUGAAAAAAAUAUGACUUUACACUAUCAUCCACCUGUUUUGCCUAAAGAAAUGACAGAUGUUUCAGUUAUGGUUUGUCAUAUAAAUAGUCCUACUGAUUUCUAUCUUCAGCUGAUAGAGAGCCUGGAUUUUUUAUUUAUAUUAAGGACAAUUGAGGAAUUCUAUAAAAGUGAAGAUGGGGAGAAUCUGGAAAUCCUCUGUCCAGUUCAAGAUCAAGCCUGUGUAGCUAAGUUUGAAGAUGGAGUUUGGUACCGAGCAAAAGUUAUUGGAUUGCCUGGACAUCGUGAAGUUGAAGUUAAAUACGUGGACUUUGGCAAUACAGCAAAAGUAACGCUUAAAGAAAUGCGUAAAAUAAAGGAUGAGUUUCUGCAUCCUGCAGAGAAGGCAAUUAAAUGUAAGCUGGCCUAUAUUGAACCAUGUAAAAGGACAAUGCAGUGGUCAAAAAAAGCUAAAGAAAAAUUUGAAGAAAAAACUCAAGAUAAGUUUAUGACAUGUUCAGUCAUUAAAAUUCUGGAAGAUAAUGUGCUCUUGGUUGAGCUUUUUGAUUCUCUUGGUGCUCCUGGAACAAUGCCUACUAGUAUUAAUGACCAGCUAGUCAAAGAGGGCCUAGCAUCUUAUGAAGCAGGAUAUACCCUCAAAGAUAAUUCCAAAAAGCAUGUUGAAGUAUGGGAUCCUUCUCCAGAAGAAAUUAUUUCAAAUGAAGUAAACAGCUUAAAUCCUGUAUUUGCAAAAUCUCUACCUAAUGAAAAUCUCCAGUCACUUUAUAAUAAGGAACUGCCUGUGCAUAUCUGUAAUGUAAUAUCUCCUGAGAAGAUUUAUGUUCAGUGGUUGUUAACAGAAAACUUACUUAAUAGUUUAGGAGAAAAGAUGUUCGCUGUUUAUGAAAACUCAAAAUGGGAACCUAUAAAAUGGGAAAAUGAUAUGCACUGUGCUGUUAAGAUCCCAGAUAAAAAUCAGUGGCGAAGAGGUCAGAUCAUCAGAGUGAUUACAGACACACUGGUAAAGGUCUUGCUGUAUGACGUGGGUGUUGAACUAGUAGUGAAUACUAACUGUUUAAGAGAACUUCAAGAAAACCUAAAGACUCUGGGAAGAUUAUCUUUGGAGUGCUCUCUUGUUGAUAUAAGACCAACUGGUGGCAGUGACAAGUGGACAGCAACAGCCUGUGACUGUCUCUCAUUGUACCUGACUGGAGCCAUGGCAACCAUCAUCGUACAGGAAAACAAAACAACAUGGCCAUUACCUGUGAAAAUUUUCUGCAGAGAUGAAAAAGGAGAGCGUAUUGAUGUUUCUAAAUAUUUGAUUAAAAAGGGUUUGGCUUUGAGAGAAAGGAGAAUUAACAAAUUGGAUAACAGCCAUUCAUUAUCCCAGAAAUCUCUGGAAACCCCCCUGGAACAAGAUGAGUCAGCAGUUACCAAGUGUAUUAAAAUUAACUGUGACCCUGACAAAAAAGCAGCUGAUACUGUCAGUGAGCACAAGGUGUCUGAAUUUAAGGAGCAAAUUCUAGAACCAAGGACUGCUGGAUCCUACAGACCACCAGCUAUCCCUACCCAGAAAGUAUUUGAGGCCAUAGUCAGCUGCAUUGGUGACGAUGGCACUGUGUUUGUGGUACCUAAGUCAUCAGAACCAGAACUAAUGAAAAUGAUGAAUGAAAUUCAGAGUAAUUUAAAAUGCCUUGGUCUUUUGGAGUCUUAUUUCUGGAAGAAGGGAGAAGCCUGUGCAGUAAGGGGAUCAGAUACGCUGUGGUAUCGAGGCAGGGUGGUGGAGGUCGUUGGCGGCACUAUCCGGGUGCAGUAUUUAGAUCACGGAUUUACGGAGAAGAUUCCGCAGUGUCAUCUUUACCCUGUUUUGCUGUGUCCUGAUAGACCCCAGUUUUGUAUUCCGUGUCAGCUCUGUAAUACCAUACCUGUCGGGAAUGUCUGGCAACCAGAUGCGAUAGAACUUCUUCAGGAACUGCUUUCAAAGAGAGAGGUGGAAAUUCACAUUAUGGAAUUACCUGAAAGUCCAUGGGAGAAAUUAUCUAUUCAGCUCUAUUUUGAUGGAAUGUCACUUUCUUAUUUUAUGGCACAUCAUAAAUAUUGUACUUUUGAACAUUCUGAGGAAAUACUGAAGGAAAAACCAACAGAUUACAAUAAAAAGUAUGAGGAAGAGAGAUGGGAAAUAACGUUUGAGGAGUUGCUUUUGUCUGAAACAGAGACCCCUCUUCUACCACCGUACUCGCCUUCCUGUCUGCCUCCCCCGGAGGAGCUCUACGCUGUCCAAGUCAAGCACGUUGUCUCUCCCAGUGAAGUGUAUAUUUGCCUUGAUUCUGUAGAAAAUUGCACUCUGUGUAACCAGCAUAGCGACACAGAGGACAGUGGAGUCGCCUGGGAGUCUGAUUCUGAGGGCCUGACUGAAGCCCUGCGGAGGGUCAACAAGAACGUGGAGGCAUUCCCUCCUCUGACGGACUUCCGGACAGAAAUGCCUUGCCUUGCAGAAUAUGAUGAUGGCUUAUGGUACAGAGCAAAGAUUGUUUCCAUUAAGGAGUUUAAUCCUCUAGCUGUCCUGACUGCGUCAGAUUCCUCUUCACCUGCUGCAGUAUCCAGCCCGAGCCAUAAAGGUCCUCUUGGCGGGCUUCAGACCUCCCCUAAGAGAUGAAGGAAAGACGAGGAUUCCAUACUGUCCCAGGUGGAGCAUGGAAGCCCUGUGGGCCAUGAUAGACUGCCUUCAAGGAAAGCAGCUGUACGCUUCUUCCGUGGCUCAGGCACCAGAACAGACAGUGAUGUUGUAUGAGGACGAACAGUAUCCGGUCCACAUGUCACUAGUGGAGAUGGGGCUCGCAGACCGAGAUGAGUGA